rnacentral:misc_RNA from 1 species
AUGAAAUCCAUAGACAACUGCUGCCAAGCUGGAGUGGGAUUUGGCAGAGCCUGUAAUAACGCUGGAUAAGCAGCAACCUUUGCACUUGGCACAAGUGGCACAGGUACUUACCCACUGCAUUACAUCAUGAAGCAUACCAGGCCAAAACAAAAUUUUCUUUAAUUUCAAAUAAAUAGCAUUGACACCUGAAUGCCGCAAAUCUUCCCCCCCCCCACUGCUGAGCUAUGAUAAGAUUCCAACAACCCCUGCCUCAAAUUAGUAAGCAAUGCCCACAUACAUUCUGUCUUUGUAAUACAAAACUUGAUUCUUCACCUAAUAACCAGAAACUGCAUCCUUCUCCAACAACAGCUACUUGAUUAAUGCAGAGGCGUUCCCAUCAUUAUCAUAACUAGCAACUAAUUUUUGCGUCCAAGUAGGAAUCUGUUACAUAUUAUAGAAGGAGGUAUAGGAAUAAGGAUAGAAAGUGAUGUA